GCCUUCGUAGCUCAGUUGGUUAGAGCACCUGACUCUUAAUCAGGGUGUCCAGGGUUCGAGUCCCUGCGAGGGUA
rnacentral:tRNA from 1 species